CAAUAAUUUUAGCUGGAAAUAAUGGGACCCAAAUGAUCCUACAUGGAGUGAGGCAUUGAGGCAAGUUUUCUCUCUUUCUCUCAUUUUCUCGCCACUUUGUCUCUCCUAAUGAGAGGUAUUCACACUCUUUGCUGGCGAUCCAUGACCCAAUUUAGGUAACCGUUGAAUCCAGCGUAGACUUUCUCCUCUAUCUAAUCCAAGACCAGAUUUUCAGCCCCCAAAUUCACGCCCCAUUUCCGCCACCCAGAGAACCCUAGUUCCUAAUCUUUGAAGGUUCAGUGUAUCUGGAUUUUGAAGAGGAAAUCGAGAAUCUGGGGCGGUGCCCAUUUGACCCAUUUGGUUAAUUGUUGGCUGGAGGCAGAAAUCUCGAAGACCCAGAUCGGGGAAUGAUCAUGAUUAUCAAACCCUAGAGUGUUUGUUUUUCUGGAAUUUGCAGAGGGAAGAAAGAGUUUUGGGCUGAAUCCAGAUGAGAAAAGGAUUAGAGGGCCUAACCUUAACCACUCAUUGAUUGUAAAAGUGUGAAUCUUGGAUUGUUGUUUUAUGGAACAGCCGUUUUCUACAUUGUUGUUUGUAAUUCUAGGGUUUGGUUUCUGUAUUUAUGCUGUUCUCGUUGAUGCUCAGUCAAAAGUUGAAUCGAAACCUAAUACAACACCCCCUCCGCCCUCUCCGCCACCUCCGCCCCUUCCGUCCCCUCCGCCGGCAGUUCCACCACCUCCUACACCGUUGUCACCACCACCUCCGCCGCCAUCGCCAUCUCCUCCUCCGCCACCAUCUCCAUCUCCUCCUCCACCGCCAUCACCUUCUCCGCCGCCAUCACCUCCUCCUCCUUCAUCACCGCCGCCGCCACAACGACCACGACCACGACCACUAACACCACCAACGCCGCCGACCCCUAAUCAUCACUCUAGCAAGAAGAAUUCGACUAGUCAUUCAAAAAAUGCAGCUACAGAUCCUACAUCCAACGUCAAUCCGAAUCGAAUGAACAAUGACACUGCAGAGCAUCAUCAUGACCAAAAAAUCAAUCUGGGGAAGACGAUUGGGCUGUUGUUUGUCGGCAUUGCAGGGAUUUUGCAAAUUUGUGUAGUGGGGUUCUUGACUUUCAAGAGAAGACAGCUUCUAAAGCUCAAGGACAGAUAUGAAACUUGUUCUUCUUCUUAAUUAAUUUUUAUAAUUUUAAUUUUCUGUAUCUCAUUUCUCAUUGAUUCUUUUGAGCUGAGAUUCUUUGGUGGGCGGAUGAAUACGAAUGGAAUCGGUGAUUGGUUGAUUGUAGCAUUGGUUUCUUUUCAGUUUCACUGUAAAUGAGUAAAUGUUGAUUGGCAUUUUCUUUUCUCAUUCUCCCAGAAUUUUCUACUCGUUUCUCUUUGUUUUGUUUACAUAAUUUGUAAUUCAAAGCAGAAGAACUUUCUUUUCCCUAUUGAGACAUGGUGGCUGCUUCCAUUUUCGGUUUUGGCUAACCUUAGGAAUCAUGAAAAGAUCCCUUCCUUUUUCUUCAAUGAUGAUCUCUACUUUUCUAAACUGUAAUUAGCUUUAUAUGACUUCUAGUUUACUCUGUGUUCAUGCUAUUAUUACAGGUGAAUGUGUUCUAUUUUAAACAAUAUCAAAUGAUAUGAAUUUACUUCAAAUUGUCAUCCCGAUCAGAGUUUUCAAAUGGUCUUCGUACGAAUUUUGGUACAUUGUUUAUGAUUUGGAAAUUUUAGAAACAUGAACUGUACUCAAAUCAAUGAAGUUUCCUGAUGAGAAAUGUGUUUCUCUUGACAUGAUGAGUUAAUGUGCUAUAGGACUCGAAGGAAAAAGAUGGGGGUACUAUAAACUUUUUGUUAACACCUCUCUCUUGUUUCUGAUCUUCAAAACUACAGGAACAAAGAGUGUGUUCCAUUUAUCCGGCUCACCCGAGGUUUUUGAACUAUGUUGUAUAUCUCAUAUAAGCAAAACUACCUUGAAGUUUUCUUUGUUAUAGUUUCUGGGUUGUAACAUUUUUCAUGGUAUUUCCCUUGUUUGAUGUUAAUUUCUCUGGGUUGAUGGUUCUGUAUCACACUAUGCUGGAGUCCUCAAUACAAAGGUAAAUGAAUAUAUUUCUUAGUCAUUGUACCAUUGUUGUUCAAUGGGCACUUUUAAUGUACCAUUUACUACUUGUUUUGGUCAGAUUUGUCAGAAUUAUUCCAGUUUCUCGGAAAAUAGAUUGGUCCAGGUACGUUGUCAUGACUGAAUGACUUGAAGAUGAGAGCAAAUGGGUGUUUAGUUAAAUGUGUGUUUCCUCUACUAUUCUUAAACGCCUUAUGCAUUAAAUUUUUAGAAGAGAAGAAGCACUUAAAUCCUCUGUAAAAUUAUUAAGGCUAUAUGUGAUGCUGCCUAACCCAGCCUGCCCUAUAUUGACUCUUCACACAUGGAUGACAUUCAUGUAAUUGCUAAUUUUAUGUGAGCAAGCUACAUUUUAUUACAUUUGAUUCUGUUCGUCUUUUGUUCUUGUGUUCAUUUAUCUCACUAUUAUGUUUAUAUGUUUGGUAUAUGAUUUCUCUUUGCUUCUAAUUCAUCCACACACAAUUCUCUUAAACAACCUGUUGCAUUUUCACAGCUCCCUGCUCAUAUUCCAUUUCAAAUGUUAUCAAACUUGAGUUGGAAUGUUCAUGGUUACCGGGUACGACCCAAAUUCAUGUUUAAAAUUAAUAAUAUCAUGUUCUUAGGUUGUUCUUAUUAUCAUGCGCUGAUGUUGCCAGAUAAUAUCAUUGUUCUACAUUGUGCUAUUGUUUCGGUUUUUAUCUUCUUUAGAAGAGAUACACAACAGAAUCAUGAACUUUGGAUCAGAGUUUUGUGCUAUGUUCAUUUUUUUUUUUUCAGUAUUAAAAGAUACAUUUCUUGGAUUUGAAUUCAAUAAAGCUUGCCUUUUGGUGGUUGUAGUGUUGAAAAGUCUGUAUCCUAGUCUCCAUUUUCAAGUGUAUGCAUGCUAUGAACCAGUAAUACAGCCCCAGCACCCCAAAAAGACGAAGAAAACACAAUUUUGGUUAGGGUUGUUGAGAAAAGGCUCUGGGCCAGGCUCGUCCAUACAAAGAACAUUCUGAAAACAAAGAACUUCUAGAAUCUUAUGUGUGUGUCCCCUUUGUGUUCAAACUCUUAGAAAUAUGAAUCUUACUACGCUUGCUUGCAAAUAUUAGGUGUGGGACUUGUGGAACUGUUCUGGGUACCAGAUUUGGGAAACAUGCAGAUUCAUUGCUAUCUCGGGGCGAAAGACAGUCAUGCAUUUGGAGUUUCUGAUCAAGCAGAUGGAUUAGGGUUAAGGGCAUGCAGCUGUAUUUUGAUUUUGUGAUUAAGCAGAUGGAUUAGGGUUCUGGUAUUUGCUUGCCAACAGGAGGAGAUCUGCAUUCUUCUUUACUGAUGUUGAAUCUGCAUUCUAGAAAUUGGGACAGCUUUCAUCUCAGAAAAUUUUCUAUAUUCAAAUGAAAAUUAUAGACAUUUUUUUA